rnacentral:tRNA from 1 species
GGGCGCUGCUCGACGACGGGGAGCGCGAACGCUACGAGCGUUUCAUCCGCGCGGAGGACAAGGCCCGGUUCGUCACCGGGCGGUUCCUG